rnacentral:rRNA from 1 species
UACGUAGGUGGCAAGCGUUGUCCGGAAUUAUUGGGCGUAAAGCGCGCGCAGGCGGUUCUUUAAGUCUGAUGUGAAAGCCCACGGCUCAACCGUGGAGGGUCAUUGGAAACUGGGGAACUUGAGUACAGAAGAGGAAAGCGGAAUUCCACGUGUAGCGGUGAAAUGCGCAGAUAUCAGGAAGAACACCAAUGGCGAAAGCAGCUUUCUGGGACGGUACUGACGCUGAGACGCGAAAGCGUGGGGAGCGAACAGG